rnacentral:rRNA from 1 species
UACGUAGGGUGCGAGCGUUGUCCGGAAUUAUUGGGCGUAAAGAGCUCGUAGGCGGUCUGUCACGUCGAUCGUGAAAACUUGGGGCUUAACCCUGAGCUUGCGGUCGAUACGGGCAUGACUGGAGUUCGGCAGGGGAGACUGGAAUUCCUGGUGUAGCGGUGAAAUGCGCAGAUAUCAGGAGGAACACCGGUGGCGAAGGCGGGUCUCUGGGCCGAUACUGACGCUGAGGAGCGAAAGCGUGGGGAGCGAACAGG